rfam:Eubacterium sp. CAG:76 genomic scaffold, scf117
CCGUGCAGCCGGGGAGUUAGCGGCACCUUGUACCUGCAAUCCGCUAUAGCAGGGGUGAUGUUCGGCAGAGGGCGAGAUUUUAUGGAGCCGCCCGAUAUAAGUGGUGAUGACAUUUGGGUCUUUCGCAACAGGAAUUCAUGAACCAUGUCAGGUCAGGAAUGAAGCAGCAUUAAGUGAAACCUUCUGUGUGCCGAAAGGCAGCCUGGAUCGAGCUAACUGUAUCGGUAACGUCUGUGGAUGAUCAUUCGAAGCUGAACGCACGG